GACGAACGCUGGCGGCGUGCCUAAUACAUGCAAGUAGAACGCUGAAGGAGGAGCUUGCUUCUCUGGAUGAGUUGCGAACGGGUGAGUAACGCGUAGGUAACCUGCCUGGUAGCGGGGGAUAACUAUUGGAAACGAUAGCUAAUACCGCAUAAGAGUAGAUGUUGCAUGACAUUUGCUUAAAAGGUGCAAUUGCAUCACUACCAGAUGGACCUGCGUUGUAUUAGCUAGUUGGUGAGGUAACGGCUCACCAAGGCGACGAUACAUAGCCGACCUGAAAGGGUGAUCGGCCACACUGGGACUGAGACACGGCCCAGACUCCUACGGGAGGCAGCAGUAGGGAAUCUUCGGCAAUGGACGGAAGUCUGACCGAGCAACGCCGCGUGAGUGAAGAAGGUUUUCGGAUCGUAAAGCUCUGUUGUAAGAGAAGAACGAGUGUGAGAGUGGAAAGUUCACACUGUGGCGGUAUCUUACCAGAAAGGGACGGCUAACUACGUG
rnacentral:rRNA from 1 species